CAAGGAAAGUUAACUCUCAAUACUAACAAUAAAUAAAUGUCUGUUCAUUUGUUUGUCAGGAGUUUAUAAAGUAAAAAGUAGUUUUAUUGAAAUUUCAAAAGCUUCAACAGGCCAGAGUGUCUGUUUUGGGGAGUGCUGCAUGCUGGAGAUGCUAACCUAACUAGCGUUAGCUAACAAGUAAAGAUCACCUCCUUCACCAGUCAAUCCAGACAUCUGCACCUACUGCUGUCACAGAGAAAACUGAGCACGGGAUCUUUGGGAUGACAGCAGGACAGAGUGACAGAGGGCAGGUCAGAGGAGAGAGAGAGGGAAAGAGAGAGAGUGAAAGAGUGAGAGCUAAAAGAGUAAGAGAACGCUGGAAUGGAACAGUGCCCUGCGAGAGGAGCUGCGCAGUAAAGGCGGCUGGAAGCUACUCUAAUGUACAUCUCGACAACUUUUCUCCUACCCCUUCCUCCUUUGUCCUAUGCUGUCCUAUGGUGUCCUAGUGUCGGGUGUGACAAAGAAUGUGAACUCUGGUAAAAUAUGACAACCAGCGUCAAUAGGUAGUUGUUACCUGAUUAAAUGAAUGCUGUGAUAUUGGGUGAACAAAAUUCAAUAACAAAUGUAGGGUGACAUCUAAUACUAAAGUCAAUUUGAGUACAGUACUGAAAUAUGAAG